rnacentral:rRNA from 1 species
UUCGCUAGUAAUCGCGCAUCAGCCAUGGCGCGGUGAAUAUGUUCCCGGGCCUUGUACACACCGCCCGUCAAGCCAUGGAAGCCGGGGGUGCCUGAAGUGUGCAGCCGCAAGGAGCGCCCUAAGGUAAAACCGGUGACUGGGGCUAAGUCGUAACAAGGUAGC